rnacentral:lncRNA from 1 species
UUCAUUUUGAUUCUUGGUAAGUACUUCCUGGAAUCAAACUCUGAAUUGACCUCAACAUCUCUUUUUUACUUUGAUAGCUCUUUCGAAGUGCUGAAAGAACCGGGCAAUGUCUAAAUCUGAUUUCAGAUGAUGCUUUAAGUCAUUGUUGAGACUCUCACUUAGCUGCGUGCUCCGCAUACCCAAGGUAAAUGCAUUUUUCAUGAAAUAUUCUGCCCACUUCUCUUUUACUUUGUAAAUGCUAUCGAACCAAGUUUGUGUUGGCACUUGAGCCCUCAUAUUUUCAAAUGCUUCCUCAAAUUCUUCUUGGUGCACAUGUUGAUACAUGCAAGCACUGAAAUCUGCAAGAAGAGUUGAUUCUUUGUCCAUAUAACUAGAUAAAUGUUUGACCGCAUUUUGCAUAAUGUGGAAAGUACAUAAUCCGUGGCGUGUUUCCGGAAAAACAUACCCAACUGCCUUUCCCAUUGCACAGUCUUGAUCAGUAUAUAUGGUUCUAGGAUGCUUCUCACUGUGUGCUAAUAAGAAAGAAUCAAACAACCAUUUAAAAGAUUCAAAUGUAUCAUCAUACAGGAGAGAAGCACCAAAGAUAACAGUUUCUCUAAAAUGGUUGAAUCCAACGAACACACCCAAUGGCCGAUGUUCCUUAUUUGUUCCAAAAGUGGUGUCAAAGGUCGUGACAUCACCAAAAUGAGCAUAAUCAAUUAUCAUCUUAGCAUCAGCCCAAAAAAUGUUUGUUAUUUUUUCAUCACAGUCCAGCUGUAAAACAUAUUUGAAUGCUGGAUUCUCUGCAGCUCUGUCUUGAAAAUACUUCAACAUGCUACCCGCUUCACCAUACUUAAGGUCCCUUUGACGCUUAGUUCUCAAAUGAUUCUUAUGAUCCCGAGGAGUGUAGCUCAGAUUAGAUGAUCCACCAACCCGUCGACUAGCAAACUCAUGAGCAGCUUUUGGUGCAAUACCAGAGUAAUCAGCACAUUCAAUUUCAAAAGCCUGCAUGUUAGAGAUCACUCUCUUUGAUAGCAGUAGGUGGGAUGCUUCUGGCAGUUGAAGUGUGUGAUUGUGUUCAAGAAAAAGAUCAGAUAUUGCCCAAUUACCAACUUCACGAUUUAUUGAAAGGGGCAUACGAACUCUACAGUCAAUUCUAGUCUCAGCUCUUGGAUUCUUAACAACAUUAUCUCUUUUGUCUACUGCCUUUUUACCCUCUUUGAAACAAACAUAUUUGCAGGAGGUGACCUUCUGAUCAAAUUUGCUUAUGUUUUUAUACCUUUGACUGAUGCUGAACCCCAUCCUUCCUCCAUAAUAUCCCCAAAAGUUCCAAGCCUCAUCUAGGGUGUUGAACUUCAUGCCAAGCUGAGGUAUCCAAGUAGGCAAUACAUUUUCUCUGUAGAAUGCACAAGUGCAGAAAAUAGUGUCACUCAUUUGCAAAAAUAGAGAGGAAUCCAACACAAAAUAAAAAAUGUUAUUCUCACUUACUUGUUUGAAUCUGCUUCUGCUUGGUUCUCCAUUAGAGAUUGACUCCAAUAAUUUGAAUUCUUAGCAGAUCUAAGACCUGUACUUGGUUCUUCCAAUCCGGACACUCAUGCAUGAAGAAAUGUGAGAAAGAACAAGAAAAAGUGAGGGAGGAAGGAGAGAAGUGUGGGAGCUGUGGUCCUAGGAAGAAUGUAUGGGAGGUGUGGUUCUAUUUUGGCGGUAAAGUGAGCAGAGGCUUUCAUUUUCCCUCCAAAACAGAGCAGCGGUGGAAGUAGUACAAAACUGUAGCAAAGAGUAGUACUGGGAAAAGGAGAGCCAUCGGAUCUGAUUUGUGCGGUGGAUAUGGGCUAUGUUAGGCUCCUAACUUGGCAAGAGGCAAGUUAGAGGAGCCGGCUCCGCAUUCUUGCACCUGCUAGUAUACGUCAGCCAGCACUUUUUAUUUGCUAGCAAAUACGGGUACCAUGCAGCGGCCUCUUCUACAAAAUACAGCCAAAUACAGUAGUUGGAUACCUGCUUGGCAUGGAUCACGACGAGCACUAAUGGGGCUGAUUCCGGCCUGCAGGUAGCUCGGCCACCAAAGACCAUUUUCGACUACCACACAAACAACAUAUAUGUACUACUAUGUUUCUAAGUAUAAAACCUUUUCGAUAUUUCAAUACGAGAUGUAUAUAGACAUAUUUUCAAAUGUAGAUUCAUUU